rnacentral:rRNA from 1 species
AAGGUGGAUUUGUUAGUAAUUUUGUUUUAUUAUUGCUUUAUGGAUUGUGGGAUUGUAUGUGUACAUAUUGCCCGUCGCUCUCGGUUUAAUCUGAGAUAAGUCGUAACAUAGUUGAUAUACUGGAAGGUGUAUCUUUUUGGAU